rnacentral:misc_RNA from 1 species
GGCAAGUUCACUGGACCUGCAGAUUAGGAAACAGCACAAAAGAGUUAUGAGAUCAAUGUUACAUUAUUAAUAAGAAAUCUUAUUGAAAGUGGAGUCAAGAAAACCCUAAAUUAAAUUUUGUUUUCUUCCUUAAAAAAACAGCAACAUAGCCUCCCUCUACAUAUAUCAAACACAGAUCAGGAUUAUGGGAAAGAAAUAAUGAAUUAGUAAAUUGCAUCAAACUUCAACAAGAUGUCCUUGAGAUUUAAUAUCUGUUUUGCUUCUGAUCCUUGAACAGAGGUGCAGUCCAUAAUUCCAUGCCAUUGUAUUUUAGUUAUUAAUAGCUUCAUGCUUAGAGUAACACCUGCUUUAUUGUAUUCAUCAGA